rnacentral:rRNA from 1 species
CGUAGGCGCAAGCGUUGUCCGGAAUUAUUGGGCGUAAAGAGCUCGUAGGCGGUUUGUCGCGUCUGCUGUGAAACUUCAGGCUCAACCUGGGGCUUGCAGUGGGUACGGGCAGACUAGAGUGCGGUAGGGUGACUGGAAUUCCUGGUGUAGCGGUGGAAUGCGCAGAUAUCAGGAGGAACACCGAUGGCGAAGGCAGGUCACUGGGCCGCAACUGACGCUGAGGAGCGAAAGCAUGGGAGCGAACAGGAUU